rnacentral:rRNA from 1 species
GAUGAACGCUGGCGGCGUGCUUAACACAUGCAAGUCGAACGAAGCACUUUAUUUGAUUUCCUUCGGGACUGAUUAUUUUGUGACUGAGUGGCGGACGGGUGAGUAACGCGUGGGUAACCUGCCUUGUACAGGGGGAUAACAGUUGGAAACGGCUGCUAAUACCGCAUAAGCGCACGGCAUCGCAUGAUGCAGUGUGAAAAACUCCGGUGGUAUAAGAUGGACCCGCGUUGGAUUAGCUAGUUGGUGAGGUAACGGCCCACCAAGGCGACGAUCCAUAGCCGACCUGAGAGGGUGACCGGCCACAUUGGGACUGAGACACGGCCCAAACUCCUACGGGAGGGAGCAGUGGGGAAUAUUGCACAAUGGGCGAAAGCCUGAUGCAGCGACGCCGCGUAAGCGAAGAAGUAUUUCGGUAUGUAAAGCUCUAUCAGCAGGGAAGAUAAUGACGGUACCUGACUAAGAAGCACCGGCUAAAUACGUG